UAUGUGCCCCCUCCAUUUUUAGGGGGAGGCUGGAGGGUCUGGAGAGUCAGCAGUGGGAUUGCUUUGGGAAGGGCAUCAGGAAGAAGUGGAUCCUGGCAUAAUUGGCUUUGAGGGAUUUGCAGGCUGAAUAGUCUGCCGAGUCCCUGAGGGCCCAAAGUCCUGCUGAGCUUGGUGGCUUUGCUUCAUAUUUUGAUUCUGGUCUGAGCCAAGCUGCAAAAGUUUCCUGGAGGAGUUCACAGGAGUUUUGAGAGGGUGUUGGAUCCUUGUGGGGUCAAGGGGGAGCUGUCCUGGCUGGAAUCUGUCGUGGUGUCCUUGUGCUGCUGCCAGAAAGGGCCUGGCCAACACUCCCUCGUGAGCACAGGGAUUAUUAGCUCAGUGCAUCAAGGGCUGUGCCAUUAUCUUUGAUAAGGCUGAACUGCUCCUUCAGCAGCCAGAGUGAUGCUACUGAAUGUACUGAUGCUGUUUGGAAAAAUGCCACCCAUCCACAAAAUGUGUGUUUAAAGCUUUUUACAUCUUCUGUAUAAAAGGAACAACUGUCCUGUUUCCCAGGUACUGCUGCAUCACCAGCACACUGGAAAAAGGUUGUACAGUGACUGAAAAGUGAUAAUUCUGGAUGCCUUUAACAGAUUCUGCAGCUUUCAAAUUAAAAAUAGUGUGUUUGGAUCAAAUGCAAAUAUUUAUUAGUUCUAUGCUCUCCCCUAAAUUUGGGGGAUAUGGAAGGAGGCACAGGUCAUCAUAGAAUGGUUUGGAAUGGAAAGGACCUUGAAUAGAAUCCAGUUCCACCCUCUGCCAUGGGCAGGGGCUCUUGCCACUCUCCCAGGUUGCUCCAAGCCCCUUCUAACCUGGCUUGGACACUGCCAGGGAUGGGGCAGCCACAGCUACUCUGGGCAACCUGUGCCAGGGUCUUGCCACUCUUAUAGCAAAGUUUCUUCCCAAUAUCUGACCAAAACCUACCCUAUUUCAGUGUAAAGCCAUUCCUCCUUUGUCCCAUCACUGCACUGUCCUAAGCUGUUGUAAAA